UGCUACACAUGUCCACUGUAACCACCAAUA
rnacentral:piRNA from 1 species